ensembl:lncRNA
CGCUCUGUCUGGACCGCGCACGCCCGAGACCGCCCGCGGGGCGAGGCGCAGCCUCAGAAAAUGGCGGCGCCCUACGCGGCUUCCGAGUCUGGGGAAGGCGUGGCCAAUCACGAGGCGGAUCAAGGAAGAGAGGCGGGCCUUCUGCAGACGGGCGGCGCCGGCAGCCAAUCGGAGGGCAGCGCGGCGGCCGGACGGGCAGCGGGGUUGAGGGCAGCCCGUGUUGUUCUUACGGGCCGCGUGGGUCUGCCGGCUCUGUUCUCCGUGGUGGCCUGGAGAGGACGCGCGGGGGCUUCGUUUUCCCUCCUUGCCCCGUUUGCAUGGAAUCAUAGAACGGCCUGGGUUGAAAAGGAGCUCAGAGACCAUCGAGUUCCAACCCCCUGCUGUGUGCAGGGUCGCCAACCACCAGAGCGGGCGUUUGCCUACCCGUAGUCUCCACAGCACGGCUCGCAGAGCACAGGGAUGGCUGCAGUGCCGGGCAGACACCCGCCUGCUGUCCCAGCCAGCACUUUGACCGUGUUGAAAGCCAAGGCCACACGGCACAGCAAAGUGACAGCCUUCAUCCGACACCCAGAGCUGAUAAAAACACAGCAGACAAAGCAGAACUCGUGGAUUGAGAUAGGAACUGUUUACUAAGGCAAAAGGAAGAGAGAAAAGAUAUUAUAUGUAUGUACGUAUGUAUGUUAUAUAGGUCCUGUAGGACUAGCUCGAUUUCCUGCCACGACAAGGCCGCCCGUCUGGCUGACCGGGUGCAGCUGGCUGGUGUUAACUUGCUGGGUUUCAGCAAAGCUUUUGGCACUGCUUCUCACAGGACCCUCGUGGACAAAAGGUCCUGCACGGAGCUGUGGAGGAACGGGCCGCUGGAUUCUCCACUGGAGCCGAAGUAGGAAGGACCCUAUCAAGUGCUUCUAACUGCACACGUGGCAGUCGAGGUGAAAGGGUUGGUCCCGUGGAUACGCCAUACCCGUGUGAAGAAAGUGACUCAGCCACACUGGGCUACAGAGAUGAGAGGACCCCUUCGACUGGUGCUCCAGAGAGGACAAAAGAAUGACAGCGUUUAGGGGAUUAAUGGUGGUAGUGAUGGGGUUGUUAGUAGGAAGGGACCCAGAGGCAUUACACAGCAUGGAUGCUAGGACUCACCUGGGCAAAUCAAACCAAACAAGACUCCUUUUGUCUUGCAUUACAGUCUGCUACAGAUCCUUUCCGAACAUGCCUCGCUGGGGUACCAUGGGGUUUUCAAUGGUCUGCAUUUCAAAAUUACGUGGGAGACAGGGUGGGACUAACUGCUAACCUCACAACUCUAUGUAGGAUGAUAGGAAUAAGUCCAGGAUCCACUUUAUCCUGUCCGGCGUUCAAAGCAAACACUGGGGCAGAGGAUGCUUUACGUAUGGGAGUUAGAGUUAAUAAUCUGAACGUCAGCCGUUCGGACCUGGAAGAGUUGGGUUUACUGGGAUCAGUAGUUACACUGACCGAAACAGGACAGGGAGUCGUCGUUUUCAUUUUGGGAGUAAGAUCAUGACAGAAGCAGCCUUAAUGGUUGGGUAUAAGGGCAAGGCAGAGCUGGAAUUAUGGAGGUUCAUGAGCAACAGCUCCACCUGUACCUGUGUGUCUGGGAAGGACUCUCCCUGCGAUGUGGAAACAAACAGUGUAUGUCGAUAGUGUUCGGCGUGCGGUACUACAGAAUCGUGCUGCUACAGAUUUCUUACUACUUGCUCAGGGACAUGGUUGCACAGGUCUCAGUGGAAUGUGCUGCUUUAAUCUCUCGGACCAUUCAGAAUCCAUACAUAAGAAAUUAGAAAGAAUGAAGAAUAACACGCAACAGAUAACAGCUAAUGUCAAUCCAGUUCUGGAAGAGUUAGGGGGAUUAUUAGGGGAGAAAUUCACCAGUUGGUUACCUAAUUUUGCAUGGCUUAAGCAACUCUUUAUAGCUUGCAUUAUUAUGGUAUUUUUGUUUAUUUUCGUAUGCAUUGCAAUGGAGUGCGCACUGUGGUUGUGUAAAAGUACUGGAAGUAGUUAUGAGGAGUGGAAAAGGCACGAGCUAUGACAGAAAACAGAAAGUGGGGGCUAUUUCAAGCCCCCGCUCUUUCGAAAUGGAAUGGCCUAGCAAAAGAAUUUGCUAGGUGGAAGGAAAGGGGGGACUGGAAAAGGGGGGAUUUGAUUCAAAUUGAUUCCGCUUAAUGGAAGAGGGUUUGAUUUUUGCAAUUCUACCUGGACGGUUUAGAUUCUGCUUACAUCCCACAGGAGCAUUCUGCUGUGGUGAGAAAGACAUAGGUACCAGACUCCUUGUCAGCAAGACAAUGAGGAAGAGUGUUUACUUCAUCCCAAGGGACCACCAGAUGGGGAUGCGACCACCCGGAGGAGAAUACAAAGCAUGUGCCAGAGGGGAGGGACUUGAUUAAUGAAUAUGGAGUGGGGUUCAACGUAACCUAUUAAAUAUGUAUGAAGUUGACUUACAGAUGGGUAACAUUUCUGCGGACCGGUAUGCGAGUUAGGAGGAGCUAUCCGCCUUGCAUCCAACUCUGCGCAGCGUUGAUUAAAACGUACCUGAUUUUAUAACUACUUUGUGGUUAUAUGGAGUUUGGUUCCGCAGGCCACACUGACACGAGCGAACGCCUGGUUUUGAAGGCUCACAGCAUGGCAGCCGUGCCAUGAGCUGCUUGUCCCCCCUUUCCCACUCUUCCUGCUGACAGGCCUUCCCUUUGCAGAGCAGCGUGGCCAUCCUCGGCCCUCUACUUCUUUUGCAGCAGUUUUAUCUCCGUGUACACCACUUCUGAGGCCUCAGGCAUCACCCCUGACCUGUCAAAGAUCAGCUUUGCAUACGUCACAUCCUCGGC